GCCAGUGUGGCAUAGCGGUUUGAGUACUGGACUGUGACUCUGGAGAUUGGGGUUCAAUUCUCCGCAUGGCCA